rnacentral:rRNA from 1 species
CGGGGGAAACUCGGGCUAAUACCGGAUAAGACCACGCAACGAGAGUUGCGUGAGAAAGCAGGGGCCUUCUUCGGAAGCCUUGCUCCUUUAGAUGAGCCCGCGUCCCAUCAGGUAGUUGGCGGGGUAACGGCCCACCAAGCCUAAGACGGGUAGCUGGUCUGAGAGGAUGAUCAGCCACACUGGAACUGAGACACGGUCCAGACUCCUACGGGAGGCAGCAGUGGGGAAUCUUGCGCAAUGGGCGAAAGCCUGACGCAGCAACGCCGCGUGAGUGAUGAAGGUCUUCGGAUCGUAAAGCUCUGUCGGCAGGAACGAUGGAUAAUGCAGCUAACAUCUGCAAGAUCUGACGGUACCUGCAAAGGAAGCACCGGCUAACUCUGUGCCAGCAGCCGCGGUAA